AAGGAUUUAGGUUAAAUAAACCUUUAACCUUCAAAGUUAAAAAUAGAAAUAUUAAUUCUCUAAGCCUUA
rnacentral:tRNA from 1 species